ensembl:lncRNA
AAGCAUCCCAGCCUGUUUACCUGGCUUUCCCAGUGACUCAUCCCAAUGAACAUCUCUCCCUGACUUUGCUGGGCUCCAGGUGCUGCCUUAGUGCAAGCUUGAUCCCGUGUCUUUGUGAACCAUCGCACUCUCAGCUCAGCCACCCCAAGCCACACACGGAAUAAGGACACGAAGCAGCAGGUCCUCAGCUGAUGUGCAUCAAUAUGGAUCUCCCACAGCCGGCGGAGCUGACUUACAACCAGCCGGGGAGGCUUGAUCCCAGAUUUGCCCCGUGCUGCUCAGGUCAGAUGGAGCUUUAUGUUUGAGCCGAGAUCCUUCUUCAGCCAGGAUUUACAAACAAAAAUAAUACGACAGAGGAGAGGGCUGGUGCUUCUGAAGAUGCUCCGAAAACGCUCACACAAGCAGAAAGGGGCCCACAAGAAUUAUUCCCCAUACAGCAGCCAAGCCAAAGCUCAGGACGUCGUCCUUGCUCCGUCUGUCAGCCCAGCUCCUGAAAAAGAACAAAUCUCAUUAAUGGUUGCCAUAGAUUUCGACGAUGCCGCGCAAGGGCCAUAACACGGCGAGGCUCUUUAGAAUGGGAGAUAAACCAUUCUCAGCUUCACGACACUCUGGGUGCAGGAAGAUAAACAGCAUCUCCAGGGAUGCUGGAGGAGGAGCACGCCGGCAGCACGCCCACAUCUUGCUUUCACUGAGCUGCUGGGAUGAGACCAUGAGUGAGCAUCCAGCGGCAAUAGAUGAUAAUUUCCUAAGGAUGAGAAGAAAAGAAAAAGCUUCCCCUGACUUAAUGUAAUUAUUAGCAUUAAUAAUUAUAGAAGAGAAGAUGCCAAUUAGCAGAGCUAGCCCUGUUUGCAGGUGGGAAUAGCUGAGUUUACUCUUUUCCCCUUUCAUUUAAAAGCGGAUUUAGCAAUAAGACUGUGGAGGAGGCAUCCAAAUGCAUGUGUGGCGGCUCCUGCAAGGCCAGAAUUGGGAACUGCUUGAUGUCAUUUGGGGAAAAACACCACUGGGAGGAAACGGCGGUUAGUGACAACUGAAUAGGUGGAGUCAUGGAGUCACAGAACGGGAAAGGACCUCUGGGUCCAUCUGGUCCAACCCCCACUCAAACAGGGACACCCAGAGCCGCUUGCCUAGGGAGCAUUCUAUUAGGAAGCACUAACUGGGGAGUAGUGCAUUAAGGGCCAGGAGUUCUUUGUUUCUAAAGCACAUUCUUCUUCCACGGUCUCUGAGUAUUUUUGUUGAGAUAGGAUGUGUGUGCCCUGAUGGACCCAAGGCUGGGAAUUUACAAGAAGAAGAUAGUGGGAACAAGGAGGUAAUGUUUGCCCAUUACUGUUUUUUUUCAAUGCCUCCUAAUUUUGGCAAGCCACUUGUGAGCUAAAAUAUUAAUUCUUAACUAGAGGAAACAUUCUCCCCCUCCUUCCUCCUCUUCCCCCAGUCCUUUUUUCACAUACUUUUUGGCUGAUAGAAAGAGCAGAAUAAUCUCAUCUGACGUUUUGGGAUAUAUUCCCUGCAGGUGCUAUAGAAGUGCCACCUGCUACCUGCGUGCUGGGUUUGAUCACAAAUCAGUAGCACCCAGUGCUGCACAGGAUCUCAUAUUUUAAUGGCCACCAAGUGCCUGGCUGCUAAUGACAAUACAUCCUGAACUGUGUAGACUUACUCUGUAAAUGCCGUUGUGCAUGAUGCUCCUUAAAACACCAGCUUAGGGGGGGAAAUGAAAGAGUGAAUUGGGAAAUACUGGUUUCAACCCCAGCCUCAACACUAAGAAGCACCUCUCCACCCUCUGCGAGCAGCAAUGGGCAGCAUAGUCCUGUUGGAAAGCAAAGAUGCUAAGUGGUGCAUCCAGGGAGGCUGUUAGCAUCCCAUCCAUCCCAAGACAGAAUAGACUGAUGGUUGGAUUGGGUGAUCUUAGUGGUCUUUUCCAACCUUAAUGAUUCUAUGAUCUAGAGGAUGCUCCCUGACAGCACACCCCCACCACAUCUUGGGCUCAGCUGAUUUCCAUCACUCCACUCCUCUGAGGACCUGGGAGCACUGAGAAGCCCUGAGUACAGCUCUCAGUGCCCUGAGCUCUUCUGACAUUGGGAGAGGAGCAUCCUGGCUGUCUUUGGGCCCAGCUGGAUGGUAAACAGCACCAGAGCCAUUUGCAAGCCUUCAAAGUUCCCACAUGAUUAUGUGAGCAAAUAUUUGGACUGGAAGUGCUGUUAGUCAUUAUUUGCAGUUCAUUUUCUCGUAUUUGUUCUCUGUCUUCUAAAUAAAG